rnacentral:rRNA from 1 species
GACGAACGCUGGCGGCGUGCCUAAUACAUGCAAGUAGAACGCUGAAGAGAGGAGCUUGCUCUUCUUGGAUGAGUUGCGAACGGGUGAGUAACGCGUAGGUAACCUGCCUUGUAGCGGGGGAUAACUAUUGGAAACGAUAGCUAAUACCGCAUAACAAUGGAUGACACAUGUCAUUUAUUUGAAAGGGGCAAUUGCUCCACUACAAGAUGGACCUGCGUUGUAUUAGCUAGUAGGUGAGGUAAUGGCUCACCUAGGCGACGAUACAUAGCCGACCUGAGAGGGUGAUCGGCCACACUGGGACUGAGACACGGCCCAGACUCCUACGGGAGGCAGCAGUAGGGAAUCUUCGGCAAUGGGGGCAACCCUGACCGAGCAACGCCGCGUGAGUGAAGAAGGUUUUCGGAUCGUAAAGCUCUGUUGUAAGUCAAGAACGGGUGUGAGAGUGGAAAGUUCACACUGUGACGAUAGCUUACCAGAAAGGGACGGCUAACUACG